rnacentral:rRNA from 1 species
AUUGAACGCUGGCGGAAUGCUUUACACAUGCAAGUCGAACGGCAGCACGGGUGCUUGCACCUGGUGGCGAGUGGCGAACGGGUGAGUAAUACAUCGGAACGUACCCUGACGUGGGGGAUAACGUAGCGAAAGUUACGCUAAUACCGCAUACGUCCUGAGGGAGAAAGCAGGGGAUCGUAAGACCUUGCGCGUUAGGAGCGGCCGAUGGCGGAUUAGCUAGUUGGUAGGGUAAAGGCCUACCAAGGCGACGAUCCGUAGCGGGUCUGAGAGGACGACCCGCCACACUGGAACUGAGACACGGUCCAGACUCCUACGGGAGGCAGCAGUGGGAAAUUUUGGACAAUGGGCGAAAGCCUGAUCCAGCCAUUCCGCGUGAGUGAAGAAGGCCUUCGGGUUGUAAAGCUCUUUCGGCAGGGAAGAAACGGUUUUGGAUAAUACCCAGAACUAAUGACGGUACCUGAAGAAGAAGCACCGGCUAACUACGUGCCAGCAGCCGCCGUAA